UGCUAACAGUUUAUUUUCUUUCUUUCACUGAUCUUUACUUACAAAAGCAUUUCCAGAGUUUUCAUUUAUGCUUCUGAAGUUUUCGUUUACGAUCCCAGAGUUUUCGUUCGUCUUUCUGACACAAAUCUCUCGCGGGGGCGGGGCCAGCAGUGGCGUGUUCUCAUUGGCUUACUGAGUUUUUGAUUGACAGCUUCUUCUUGACCUGGAAGUGAAGACGUCAGCGUUGUGUUUACAAUUACAUGUGUGGAGGUGAUCGUCUGUAAGCGGCUUCUUAUUUCAUUUAAAGCUUUUUUUUAAUUUUAUCUGUAUUUAUCUGCGGCUUCUACUUUGUCACAUCAACUUUUAGGAGCGUGAGAGAUCAAACGCGAGAGAAAAUGAAUGUCUUGAGGUUUAAUUGUACAUUAAAGGUUAUAAUACUGAAAAUAUUGCAUAAUGUCCAAUGUUUUCGGAGAAUAUUUGAUUAUUUCUGAUGAUUCUUCUCUAUUGUUGGGUCUGAUUAGGUUGUGCUGUUACAGUUUAAAGAGAAUAGUACUAGUAUCAUAUACAUGUAUAUAUUCAGCCGUCAAGAAAGUCUCACUCCAACCAGGUAAUCAAGGUUGGCAACCAUGGCCAUCACUCUACCCAUUGUUAGCAUAUGCACAUACACCAUCACAAUUAAUGAUCACUUAAUUCUGAAGGAUUCAAAUAUGAAAAUAACAGUCGUGGCUUGCUGUAAGACGGUACCCAGAUAGCAACAGACUCCGGGGCGGAUCCGCCUUCAAGUCGCCAGCUCCGCUGUACGCUCAGAUUCAAUUCGGCAACGCGCACAGGAUAUGCCCCGCCUCCGCACAGCGCACUGUCAACUCGCGGACUCGUUACCAGAUGCUGGGCGGAUUCACUGACCGGACGCGCCUUUUUUCAACUGUCGUCGUCACUGAAUCCUUCUCCUCACCGUGGAAAAGCUGGAGCCGGCAGGUCGGUGAAGACUAAACACGCUUACAGCUCAUUCAAGUGCCGCCAGUGUGUUUUUGGAGUAUUUCUUCUUUCUAUUUCAUCUUUCAUCUGAGGAAAAUCAUUAUUUCAUAUCAUAGAGAGGAAAUGUCAUUGCUCCCUAUGUAGGCCUCACCGAGCCAUGAGAUUCAAUCAAAAUAUCUUAAUUUGUGUUCUGAAGAUGAACGAAGGCAUCACGGGUGUAGAACGACAUGAGGGUAAGUAAUAAAUGACAUUAUUUUCAUUUUUGGGUGAACUAACCCUUCAACUAUAAGAAAUUGACAAGAUUUUUGUUACAUUUUCUAUUUUAUCCCGUGCAACUGUUGGGCGCCAUGACACAAAAUGUGUCACAAGGAACAUCCUUUCCCGCAUUCAACCACAUGGAGUCCAAGAAGUUCCUCCUGUGUGCUGUGAGAAAGAACCAUGUAUCACGUACCGCCACUGAUGAAGACAUUACAAAACACAAUACGAUGGUUCAGCCUGGCAGCUGAUAGGGGAAGCUCCAGGAACCGUCCCACUGUGAGCACCCAACAGUAGAGUUUCAGAGUAUCAUUGGCUACGUUUACAUGCACCGAUUUUCGUCAAUCUGAAUUAAUUGAAUCUGAUUGCAGAUCUGUUUACAUGUACUAUAAACAUUGUAAUCUGAUUCAAAUAUCCAUUUAUAUUUGUUUUAUAUACAUUCCGAUUAAAACUUUGAUGUCAUAUCAAUCACACUUGCGGUAACCCAGGUUGCGUCAACAGAGUCAGAGAUAUUGUCAAAUGCAGCAAAUCUUGGCAAUAUUAAGAGGAUUUGGUAUUUCCAAUUAAUGUAGGCCUGUUACAUACUUCUAGUCUAUUAUUAUUACUAUUAGGUUAGGCUUCUUUCUUUUAUUAUUAAAUUAAUAUUAUAAUAAAUUUGCCCCACAAUUUCAUAGCGCGUCGCCGCAUAACUGGCGUGCUCUGAGAAUAAUAUAACUUAUAAGAUUAGGCUAUUAGCUAUCUUUGAAAAUGAUUUAAACUUUUUUUAGGUCUGAUACAAUGAAUUAUAGGCCUAUAAUUAAAGUUAUUAAGAAUGUCAAUGAAAAUUAAGCGCAGCUUUACUUCAAGCACUGACUUUAAAAAACAAACCACCUGUUUAACACGAAAUACUAUUAUUCUCAUUUGUUUCACUAGCUUAUAUGUACGGCCACAAGUGAAAUAAUGGAAUAAAUUUAGACAGUUACAUAGGCUACCGUUAUCAGCAUUUUAUGUUGAAAUUUGUCUCUGAGAAUAUGCUUUGUUAAAGCAGCCUCAGACAGCUCAGUCACUUUUUACUUUUUGUGGUGAAUACUGACCGAGUUUGAGACUUUUUCAUCAGCAUAACUCUUGCGCAAAGUUUGGACGUUGCUUCUUAUGUGAUAUCCACUUGCUCCCCGUCUUGUCUUAAAACGGAAGAAUAUUGUGACGAAGUGAUACAUACGCCACUGCCUGUUGACAUACAUCUUUACAACUAAAGACGUGAACGUUAACUUUAAAUGCGUGUCAGCAUUGCACUGUUGUGCCCCAGAGGCUUCUGAAUACUAUUGAGAAAGUAGUCGGAUUCAAUGUUUACAUGGUUAUUUUUUGCUGUUUGAUCGGAUUAGAAAAGGAAUAAACCACCCCUUCCAAUCCGAUCGAAAUUUCAUUCAGAUCGAUUAAGGUGUUUACAUGAACGUUUUUCAAUCCGAUUGAGCCGUCAAUCCGAUUACAAAUGGAUUAUUUGGGUGCAAGUAAACGUAGCCAAUGUUAACUUCAGUGUUUUGAAGUGUUCAUUUAAAAUCGCAACAGUUACAAUAAAAUAAAGAAUGUUCAAGUUUAUUUUUAAAUAAAUGUUUUAAUUGUUUUAAUUUCUAUUCAAAGAAUCUUAAAAAAAAUCCAGUUUCUACAAAAAAAUGAAGCAGUACAACUGUUUACAACAUUAAUAACAAAAAUGUUGCUCGAAUAUUUACUCUUAAGUGUUAUUUUUCAUUAAAUAAAAAAUGUUUUUGGUACAAUUUAUGGUUGCAUUUCAUUUUCUGUAAUUCUAUUCAAUACCUAUUAAUGUACAUAAAUAAUAAAACUAUAAAAAUAGUAAUAGUAAUU